CGUGCUAAUCUGCGAUAAGCGCCGGUAAGGUGAUAUGAACCGUUAUAACCGGCGAUACCCGAAUGGGGAAACCCAGUGUGAUUCGUCACACUAUCAUUAACUGAAUCCAUAGGUUAAUGAGGCGAACCGGGGGAACUGAAACAUCUAAGUACCCCGAGGAAAAGAAAUCAACCGAGAUUCCCCCAGUAGCGGCGAGCGAACGGGGAGGAGCCCAGAGCCUGAAUCAGCAUGUGUGUUAGUGGAAGCGUCUGGAAAGGCGCGCGAUACAGGGUGACAGCCCCGUACACAAAAGCGCAUGUGCUGUGAGCUCGAUGAGUAGGGCGGGACACGUGGUAUCCUGUCUGAAUAUGGGGGGACCAUCCUCCAAGGCUAAAUACUCCUGACUGACCGAUAGUGAACCAGUACCGUGAGGGAAAGGCGAAAAGAACCCCGGCGAGGGGAGUGAAAAAGAACCUGAAACCGUGUACGUACAAGCAGUGGGAGCCCCACCACUAAGCCAGUGGUGAACUCCACAUACGCAUCCUUUGCUGAGGAUACGGUUAACGGAGCGAAAGCGACGUUCAACCGCAAAAGAAGCAGAGGGGGCUUAGUGGUGGGGUGACUGCGUACCUUUUGUAUAAUGGGUCAGCGACUUAUAUUCUGUAGCAAGGUUAACCGAAUAGGGGAGCCGGAGGGAAACCGAGUCUUAAUUGGGCGUUAAGUUGCAGGGUAUAGACCCGAAACCCGGUGAUCUAGCCAUGGGCAGGUUGAAGGUUGGGUAACACUAACUGGAGGACCGAACCGACUAAUGUUGAAAAAUUAGCGGAUGACCUGUGGCUGGGGGUGAAAGGCCAAUCAAACCGGGAGAUAGCUGGUUCUCCCCGAAAGCUAUUUAGGUAGCGCCUCGUGAACUCAUCUCCGGGGGUAGAGCACUGUUUCGGCUAGGGGGCCAUCCCGGCUUACCAACCCGAUGCAAACUGCGAAUACCGGAGAAUGUUAUCACGGGAGACACACGGCGGGUGCUAACGUCCGUCGUGAAGAGGGAAACAACCCAGACCGCCAGCUAAGGUCCCAAAGU
rnacentral:rRNA from 1 species